rnacentral:rRNA from 1 species
GACGAACGCUGGCGGCGUGCUUAACACAUGCAAGUCGAACGGUAAGGCUCCAGCUUGCUGGGGUACACGAGUGGCGAACGGGUGAGUAACACGUGGGUGACCUGCCCUGCACUUCGGGAUAAGCCUGGGAAACUGGGUCUAAUACCGGAUAGGACCAUGGUGUGGAUACUGUGGUGGAAAGUUUUUUCGGUGUGGGAUGGGCCCGCGGCCUAUCAGCUUGUUGGUGGGGUAAUGGCCUACCAAGGCGGCGCCGGGUAGCCGGCCUGGGAGGGUGGACGGCCACAUUGGGCCUGAGACACGGCCCAGACUCCUACGGGAGGCAGCAGUGGGGAAUAUUGCACAAUGGGCGGAAGCCUGAUGCAGCGACGCCGCGUGGGGGAUGACGGCCUUCGGGUUGUAAACUCCUUUCACCAUCGACGAAGGGUUUCUGACGGUAGAUGGAGAAGAAGCACCGGCUAACUACGUG